ensembl:lncRNA
GGGGAGGAAACGCUGGAGGUUGAAAUCCGUAAAAACCCUUGAACAGCAAGAUCCUGAGAGCUUCGGAGUUGGUAAGCACAUCCACGUGCCAGGAGGGUGGUGCACCCCAAUUUCAUGGAGACAGAAGUUCUUCUGCUCAGGACCCUUCCUUAACUCUCCCUGUGUACUUCUUAUCUGGCUGUUGAUUUGUAUCCUUUAUGAUCAACUGGUAAGUUCCAUAAAAUAAUGACAUGCCUUAGAAUACAUGGCAUUUUGGAUUUGAUGAAAUACAGCCGUGCUUACCCAGUGCGAGGCACUGUCUAUUUCAAUCUCACAACAACCCUGUGAGGGCUCUCCUCGGACCAGUCACUAUGGUCAAAGUUUGGAAUAUGCUGAUUGACCAGGACAGGGUCGCUUGCGCAUCCCAGGAACCACAGAAGUGGGGAUCAGCCCCAUCUGAACUUCAGGAAUGGGAGUGGCCCAUAUCCGUGAUGAUCAACCUCUCAGACACUACCAGGAAGGCAAACCCACUGUGAAUAUUGAAACACACAGGUGAACUCCAAAGUCACAGAAAACAGAUGUGUCAUGCACUCACUACAUCCUGUCCCCCCAAGACUUGGCUGUGUUCUGGAAGACAUUACACCGUGUACAUCCUAGAUCUUAUGACAGCUGGCUUCCCUGCAACCACAGGAUGUAGCUGUGAGAGACAUGGCUCUUCAGAAGCCCAGGAAUGGGAGUUUGGGCUCUGCCACUGUCUUGCAGGAUGACCUUGGGCACAUCACUUAACCUUUCCUGGGUUGGUUUCUUCUUUCAUCAAAUCAGAGGGUUGGUUGAGGACUAGGUGAUUUCUAACGGGCCUUCUGUCUCAAGGGUCCAUCCUGUGGCAUUUGCUAGACCUGGUGGGGAAACCUGGCACCAAGGGUGAGGAGGGGUAACUGCUUCAACACAGCUGGUUGCAGCUUGGGGGAGGAGGCUGGAGGUACUCUGGUGUGUGUGUGCGUGCUAAGUUGGGUCCAACUCUUUAUGAAUCCCUGGACUGUAGCCAGCCAGGGUCUUCUGUCCACAGCUGGGAAAGUAUAUCAUUUCCUCCUUCAAGGGAAAGUUGCCAUUUCCUCCUUCAAGGAAAUAAAUUUCCAUUUCUUCCUGACCCAGGGAUCUUCUGCACUGGCAGGAUUCUUUACCACUGAGCCACCUGCUAAGAGGGAUUCCCUUGUAGCUCAGUCAUAAAGAAUGCCUGCAAUGCAGGAGACUGGGGUUCGAUUUCUGGGUGGGAAAGAUCCUCUGGAAAAGGAAAUGGCAACCCACUCCAGUAUUCUUGCCUGGAGAAUUCCAAGGACAUAGGAGACUGGAGGGCUAUAGUCCAUGGGGGUCGUGAUAGUCGGACACGACUUAGCGACUAAACCACCACCACCUGCUAAGAGGGCUGGGGCUGGAACCACAGAUCCCUGGUUUAUUCUUGAUGCUGCUUUUAUCUGACUGCAUGACCUUGGGCCUGUCACUCUCUGAGCCACCCGUAUAACAAGGAUUAUGGCACCUAUCUAAGAUGGCUGUGAGGAUUCAAUCAGGUCAAUGAGAUGCAAUACCAGGUAUCCAGCAAGAGCUCAAUGAGGAGCUUAGCUUACUGCUUCCCUCCCUCUGGUUGAGCUUCCUCUUCUACUUGCCAUACAUGACUAAGUUUGGUGAAAUGGAAAUAGCCCAAAGAGACCUAGGUUUCACCCUGCCUCCUGUUCUUCAUACCUCCAAGUCACUGGACCUGUUUUCCUCAUUAGUAAAAUGGGCACAGUGAGACCUUAUCUCAAGGGCUGAUGUGACUGCCUAAUGACUGACACAGACAGGUUUUUCCUCCCUGGAUCUCAUCGGCAUCAACCCACCCACCAUCAUUCAUUUUACAAUUUAUUUCCAAUCUAUGUGAUUAACUGAUUGUUAAAAGCCCUCAUAGGAGUCAGUAUCAGAAAACCUGAGACCAGCGUCUCUGCAUUUCACUCCACUCCCAUGUUCCUUUCCCAGCUCUGUGAGGCAGGGCACACCUGGUCAUUCUCACAGUCCUGAUGCCAGGCACAGCACCGGGCCUCUGGGGGCCACCUCCCCAACCUACACCUGGAGCCAGAAAACGUCCAUCUGCUCCAAAGAAGGGGGCAGGAGGUAUCUGGGCACCACCCAGAGGCAGGGUGGGUCAGUCUCUCCUGAGAAGCACCUUUCUGCUGGAAUCACAUAGGAUCUAGGGCUUGCUGUGAGGUUCCAGCUCUUAUGGCUGAGAAUGAAUUUCUGUGUAUAUGUAUCAACUACCACAGUAUGUGGGAUGAUCUUUUUGGAAAACACAGAACCUUGCACAUGAGACUUAUAAACGUCUAUUUUUGGUACAAUGACUCCUAAGCAUUUGGACUAUCAAAUCCAUAAAGAGUGUAACACAAUGUCUAGUGGUUAAGUUGAAAAUAACCUGAGUAUCUUACCAUUUGGUUAGAAUUAAGUAAAUUAAUAGACUACUACAUAGCCAUUUCAGG